UACGAAAGGGGCUAGCGUUGUUCGGAAUUACUGGGCGUAAAGCGCACGUAGGCGGCCUUGUAAGAUGGGGGUGAAAUCCCCGGGCUCAACCCGGGAACUGCCUUAAUGACUGCAAAGCUAGAGGAUGCGAGAGGUUAGCGGAAUUCCGAGUGUAGAGGUGAAAUUCGUAGAUAUUCGGAAGAACACCAGUGGCGAAGGCGGCUAACUGGCGCAUUUCUGACGCUGAGGUGCGAAAGCGUGGCGCGCUAACAGG
rnacentral:rRNA from 1 species